GACGAACGCUGGCGGCGUGCUUAACACAUGCAAGUCGAACGAGUGGCGAAAGGGUGAGUAACAAGUGGGUGACCUGCCCUGCACUUCGGGAUAAGCCUGGGAAACUGGGUCUAAUACCGGAUAGUGUGGGAUGGGCCCGCGGCCUAUCAGCUUGUUGGUGGGGUAAUUGCUCCCAAGGAGCGACGGGUAGCCGGCCUGAGAGGGUUGACGGCCACACUUGGACGGAGCAACGGCCCAUACUCCUACGGGAGGCAGCAGUGGGGAAUAUUGCACCAUGGGCGGAAGCCUGAUGCAGCGACGCCGCGUGGGGGAUGACUGCCUUAGGGGUGUAAAGUACUUUCAGCGGGGAGGCGUUACCCGCAGAAGAAGCACCGGCUAACUCCGUGCCAGCAGCCGCUGUAAUAC
rnacentral:rRNA from 1 species